GACGAACGCUGGCGGCGUGCUUAACACAUGCAAGUCGAACGGAAAGGCCCUGCUUUUGUGGGGUGCUCGAGUGGCGAACGGGUGAGUAACACGUGAGUAACCUGCCCUUGACUUUGGGAUAACUUCAGGAAACUGGGGCUAAUACCGGAUAGGAGCUCCUGCUGCAUGGUGGGGGUUGGAAAGUUUCGGCGGUUGGGGAUGGACUCGCGGCUUAUCAGCUUGUUGGUGGGGUAGUGGCUUACCAAGGCUUUGACGGGUAGCCGGCCUGGGAGGGUGACCGGCCACAUGGGGACUGAGAUACGGCCCAGACGCCUACGGGAGGCAGCAGUGGGGAAUAUUGCACAAUGGGCGGAAGCCUGAUGCAGCAACGCCGCGUGCGGGAUGACGGCCUUCGGGUUGUAAACCGCUUUCGCCUGUGACGAAGCGUGAGUGACGGUAAUGGGUAAAGAAGCACCGGCUAACUACGU
rnacentral:rRNA from 1 species